rnacentral:rRNA from 1 species
CCUACGGGUGGCAGCAGUGGGGAAUAUUGGACAAUGGGCGAAAGCCUGAUCCAGCCAUGCCGCGUGUGUGAAGAAGGCCUUCGGGUUGUAAAGCACUUUCAGUGGGGAAGAAAGCCUUGGGGCUAAUACCCUCGAGGAAGGACAUCACCCACAGAAGAAGCACCGGCUAACUCCGUGCCAGCAGCCGCGGUAAUACGGAGGGUGCGAGCGUUAAUCGGAAUUACUGGGCGUAAAGCGCGCGUAGGCGGUCUGAUAAGCCGGUUGUGAAAGCCCCGGGCUCAACCUGGGAACGGCAUCCGGAACUGUCAGGCUAGAGUGAAGGAGAGGAAGGUAGAAUACCGGGUGUAGCGGUGAAAUGCGUAGGGAUCGGGAGGAAUACCAGUGGCGAAGGCGGCCUUAUGGACUGACACUGACGCUGAGGUGCGAAAGCGUGGGUAGCAAACAGGAUUAGAUACCCUGGUAGUC